CCUGGGCCAAAGUGUUUAUUCAACCUAAGAGUGCCUGGGAGGCCGACUGAGCGUCAGCAGGCCGCACAAAAGCCCCAUUCACCGGAAACAGGAACCCAGACCGGCGCUGCCACGUCCAAAUGUUUCAGCAAACAACACUGGUGCAAGUGUUUUACUCUGUUUUGACCAUUAAGGAGGGCAGGAGAUGACCCCGAGGAACGCCUUCAAGGUCUUUGACCCAGAAGGUAGCAGGAGUGAGUGUGUGCUUCUCUUCAGUCUGCACCGAAACAGCAGAAAUGACUCUGUGGCUUGUGAUGCCUCUCCCAGGAAUUCAUUGCUCAGAUCUCUAUAAAUUACUUUGUACAAAACACAAAAGCGUAAAUCACUCCCAAAGUUUCAGGAUGCAGAUAACGCAUAUCAUGGAUGAAUUAUCACCUCGUGUCACAGGCUGACAAGUUUACAGAGGAUGAGGUAACCUUGACUACGUGAUCAUCCACGGAGAGGACAAAGAGCAGGAGGAGAGACAGAAGGAUGAAACGAGGAGGAAGAGGAGGAGCAGCAGCGAGGCUUCUGCCUGUAAAUAGUCACGCCACGC